rnacentral:rRNA from 2 species
GCAGUCGAACGAACUCUGGUAUUGAUUGGUGCUUGCAUCAUGAUUUACAUUUGAGUGAGUGGCGAACUGGUGAGUAACACGUGGGAAACCUGCCCAGAAGCGGGGGAUAACACCUGGAAACAGAUGCUAAUACCGCAUAACAACUUGGACCGCAUGGUCCGAGUUUGAAAGAUGGCUUCGGCUAUCACUUUUGGAUGGUCCCGCGGCGUAUUAGCUAGAUGGUGAGGUAACGGCUCACCAUGGCAAUGAUACGUAGCCGACCUGAGAGGGUAAUCGGCCACAUUGGGACUGAGACACGGCCCAAACUCCUACGGGAGGCAGCAGUAGGGAAUCUUCCACAAUGGACGAAAGUCUGAUGGAGCAACGCCGCGUGAGUGAAGAAGGGUUUCGGCUCGUAAAACUCUGUUGUUAAAGAAGAACAUAUCUGAGAGUAACUGUUCAGGUAUUGACGGUAUUUAACCAGAAAGCCACGGCUAACUACGUGCCAGCAGCCGCGGUAAUACGUAGGUGGCAAGCGUUGUCCGGAUUUAUUGGGCGUAAAGCGAGCGCAGGCGGUUUUUUAAGUCUGAUGUGAAAGCCUUCGGCUCAACCGAAGAAGUGCAUCGGAAACUGGGAAACUUGAGUGCAGAAGAGGACAGUGGAACUCCAUGUGUAGCGGUGAAAUGCGUAGAUAUAUGGAAGAACACCAGUGGCGAAGGCGGCUGUCUGGUCUGUAACUGACGCUGAGGCUCGAAAGUAUGGGUAGCAAACAGGAUUAGAUACCCUGGUAGUCCAUACCGUAAACGAUGAAUGCUAAGUGUUGGAGGGUUUCCGCCCUUCAGUGCUGCAGCUAACGCAUUAAGCAUUCCGCCUGGGGAGUACGGCCGCAAGGCUGAAACUCAAAGGAAUUGACGGGGGCCCGCACAAGCGGUGGAGCAUGUGGUUUAAUUCGAAGCUACGCGAAGAACCUUACCAGGUCUUGACAUACUAUGCAAAUCUAAGAGAUUAGACGUUCCCUUCGGGGACAUGGAUACAGGUGGUGCAUGGUUGUCGUCAGCUCGUGUCGUGAGAUGUUGGGUUAAGUCCCGCAACGAGCGCAACCCUUAUUAUCAGUUGCCAGCAUUAAGUUGGGCACUCUGGUGAGACUGCCGGUGACAAACCGGAGGAAGGUGGGGAUGACGUCAAAUCAUCAUGCCCCUUAUGACCUGGGCUACACACGUGCUACAAUGGAUGGUACAACGAGUUGCGAACUCGCGAGAGUAAGCUAAUCUCUUAAAGCCAUUCUCAGUUCGGAUUGUAGGCUGCAACUCGCCUACAUGAAGUCGGAAUCGCUAGUAAUCGCGGAUCAGCAUGCCGCGGUGAAUACGUUCCCGGGCCUUGUACACACCGCCCGUCACACCAUGAGAGUUUGUAACACCCAAAGUCGGUGGGGUAACCUUUUAGGAACCAGCC